rnacentral:lncRNA from 1 species
GUUCAAAAUCUUUCAUCUAUAUUGGCUGGUUUGAUCAUUGCGUUCUUGGCUUGUUGGCAAUUAUCCUUCGUUGUCCUCGCGAUGCUCCCGCUUAUUGCACUCAAUGGAUUUCUAUACAUGAAGUUCAUGACAGGUUUCAGCGCAGAUGCAAAGGUAAAAGUAGUUACUAGUUUCCAUACGUACACAAUUAGAUGAUUCUCUCUAUGCCACAAUCAUUCGAUUAUUUUACCUGUAACCAUUGGCAGAAAAUGUAUGGGGAAGCAAGCCAAGUGGCGAAUGACGCGGUAGGGAGCAUUAGAACCGUUGCUUCAUUCUGUGCAGA